rnacentral:misc_RNA from 1 species
CUGCUGCUCGGUGCGAGCCGUCGUGCAACACAGAGACCGUUGCAGACGAGAACGGAUCGCCAACCGAUGCUUAUGAUGAUCUCGUGUCAGGCACGAUCCACCCGGACAACUUGAAAGAAACGCCAUGAACCCGACACCAACUUCACGUAACGGAAAGUCGCGAAAACGCGCCUCGGGUGUGCAGAGAAUGCGCGGGGCGCCGCCUACCUGCCAGCGCUGGCGCCCAGCAUACGUAUCUCGCGACUGUACCCUUCACAAGGUGCGUACUCGUGUUGAUCGUGGACAGACGCUGCACGUCGGAGUUGUAGCUGAGCGGCCUCCACAGUGGACAAGGUGUCUGGGGAAAGAGCAGGGUGCUUGGUUCGCUAGCGGAAUAGAGAGGAGCCGGCAGGCAGGCAGGCAGGCGCCGCACCCGUGCACUCGAGGCGCACUGCUUCCAGCGCUGGAAGGCGCCGGUGCGCAGCGCGUCGGUGAGCACGUUUCUGAUACCUCGUUCGGGCAGGCGGCAAACACAGGCUUUACUGAGAAGCUCCGCUCUUUUGCAGGUUACGUGGAUGGCACUGUGCUUUGACAGGAUUUCGAAUCGAGCGCAUGUGCCCGGCCAAGCAAGUGCGGCCGGCCUAUGCUAUCCCAGUAGACGGAUAGAGGUCUCAUGGCGCGGGUUUUUUAUGUAGGAACGCUGCUGCUGGCAUAGAAGAAGGAAGAAGCGUGCGCGGAAAUGGUGAGGUCCAGGCGCUGGUAUCGACACCGUUCGGCUACUCAGAAUCGACUCCUUCGAUACACCGUGUCUGCAUCAUGAGAAUCGGUGGAUGCACGGCAUCGUGGUCGUGUACGACGCCCAGCGCGCGACACGCAUCCGUGGUAGAACUGGUUAGACUUUUCUGAUCUUGCGCGAUGGAAAGAAAGCACUAUGCUGCGCGCUCCACGAAGGUGUAUUCAUUCGGGAGCAAACAUAUGCCCGAGACCAUUGUCGGGAACAGUCGAAUACGGGAGCAAGACGCUUUCAUGCUUGCGCUUCUGGGCAGUAGAGCGAAAUCGCGUUUGAUGCUGGAUGCACGGGAUCUCGGGCUUGUACGCGGAUCUCGCUUGUCAUCUAGGCAGUCAGCGGGGAUCGACUUUGAUGCUGGAAGCAUCAGACAAUGGACCUGUGCAGCCCGGAGUUUCCGAGUCUUAUGCAUAGUACGUGUCCGCGCAUGAAGCGUUCAGGGAUCGACUACCGGCUUCAUGCAGGCCCAGUGCUCGGAAGCGUCAUUCAAUAACGGACACGGCAUCAUUUCGAGUGGGUUCUCUGAUGCAGCAGUGUAUGGAGGCGUGCUUGGAGAACGCAAAAUCACGACCCACCAAAUUUUUUUGGUGGAUCAGAAGACCGUUCGACGCGAAUCGAGGUGUUAUCAUUUGAGGAACCACAAAGUCGGCAGCUUCGCUGGUCCCUGCACAGUGCUCGGAUCCUGGAGCUUUGGCGAGCCAUGGCGUCACACGGUGAUCAUUGCGCUCUACGUACGUCCUGUGCAACGGAAUCAGUGUUGAUGAUGCAGGAUCAAUGAUUCCAUUCAGGUAGCGAUGGCGGAGCAAAUGCUUCUGAUUACGUAGAAAACGACCAGACUUGCUUAAGAAACGCUACUAGGUUCCAUACGCUGCAAAUCGAACUUGCUCUUCGGCAUAUGAUUUAUAAAACGUGCAA